GAUGAACGCUGGCGGCGUGCCUAAUACAUGCAAGUCGAACGAAACUUCUUUAUCACCGAGUGCUUGCACUCACCGAUAAAGAGUUGAGUGGCGAACGGGUGAGUAACACGUGGGCAACCUGCCCAAAAGAGGGGGAUAACACUUGGAAACAGGUGCUAAUACCGCAUAACCAUAGUUACCGCAUGGUAACUAUGUAAAAGGUGGCUAUACUACCGCUUUUGGAUGGGCCCGCGGCGCAUUAGCUAGUUGGUAGGGUAAAGGCUUACCAAGGCAAUGAUGCGUAGCCGAAUUGAGAGGUUGAUCGGCCACAUUGGGACUGAGACACGGCCCAAACUCCUACGGGAGGCAGCAGUAGGGAAUCUUCCACAAUGGGCGAAAGCCUGAUGGAGCAACGCCGCGUGGGUGAAGAAGGUCUUCGGAUCGUAAAACCCUGUUGUUAGAGAAGAAAGUGCGUGAGAGUAACUGUUCACGUUUCGACGGUAUCUAACCAGAAAGCUACGGCUAACUACGUG
rnacentral:rRNA from 1 species